GACAGAGGAUGCAAACGUUGCUCGGAAUUACUGGGCGUAAAGCGCGUGUAGGUGGUUCGGUAAGUCAGGUGUGAAAUCCCGGGGCUCAACCCCGGAAGGGCAUUUGAUACUGCCAAACUUGAGUACUGGAGAGGAGAGUGGAAUUCCCGGUGUAGAGGUGAAAUUCGUAGAUAUCGGGAGGAACACCAGUGGCGAAGGCGACUCUCUGGACAGAUACUGACACUGAGACGCGAAAGCGUGGGGAGCAAACAGG
rnacentral:rRNA from 1 species